rnacentral:lncRNA from 1 species
AUGUCAGGGCUGGUGCUGAUGCUGGCGGCGCAGUGCAUUGUGGGCAGCUCCCCCUCCCUGUGCCGUCUCAGUCUCCACCCCAGCUGGGACGCUGGCCUACACAGCCUGGGCCGCAUCCCGAGGCCUGGAACGGCGCCCUGCCCCCAGCACACAGACCCACCCUCUUCAGCCUGUCCUCCAGGGGUUUUGCUCCUCCCUUCUCACCUCUGUCCCCAUCCCCAGGGUUUCACUCUCCUGUCAUUCCUGACAGCCGUUCCCAGCUGUCUCCAUAACCUCUCUUGUCCUCGGUGCCUGCAUUCCUCCCACCAGCCUCCUUACCUACUUCCUCAGCCCUUCAACUGUGCCCAGAAAUCCUUCUCAUGGUCCUGUCCCCUCAUCACCUGUCAUGAUGAGCCCCUCACCUGUUCCAUCUUAUGCAACCCCCUCCUCUGAUCCUGUCACCCCUUGUCCCCUGCACUCCCCUCUGCCCCCUUCCACACCUCUUAACCUGAUCCCAUUACUCCUCGCUCAUCUCUUUCACCUCUUUUUAACUGUGCUCCCAGAUUCCCUCACACACCUGGCUCACACCUUGCAUAGGUGCACCUCAACACCUAUAUGCACGUGCUAGGAUGAGCUCCCAGCCACUUGGCUAUGCCCCCGCAACCCACACGCACACACACAUAAGGGGCCCCCCACUCUUAAACAUACACACUUGCCGACAGAUAUUCCUUAAACCUCCUCCCCAAGCCCUCAAUAACUACACACCAAAGAGUCUUGAGGGGGCAAUCAGGGAGCAGCCAGGUUCCUCGUGUUCGUGUCAUCAGCCCUAGCCUGGGCUGGCUGCAGUCCUCUGAGGCAGAGAGUGGGAAGGAUGCUGGGCAGGGAGAGGCAGGGAAUCCUCAUUCAUCUUCCUGCCUCUACUCCCCCUUUUCCCACUUCGCCUGUUCCUUCCACGCUUGCCCGUCUAUAGAGUGGGAGCAGGAUUCACAUCUUCCUCAUCAAUCUAUAGAAUCCUCCAUCCCAGGGCUGGAAGGCCCACCCGAGGUCACCCUCUUUAACUCCUUACGGCUCCCCUCCCCCGUUUACUGGUUCAAUUGCUUCUUCAAUCUUGUCUUCAACCUGUCUCCUCCACUUUUAUUCCAGAAUCCCCCAUCCCUACCUCUCCCUUCAUCCUGCCAUUGCCCCCACUGCUCUCUGAGUUCCUGAUGAUGCCCCGAAUGUCAUUUGGCAGAAGGAAAGUGGAGACCUAUUUGCUAUCCCCACAGUUCUGAUCCUCUGAAGUUGUGUGGAUGGGGUGGGGAAAGUCAGCUGAGUCAUUUGACAGGAAGAGUGAGAGUAUCCCUCUCCCGGAAGAUCCCUUCUCCACCUGUCCCUCAUGGCACACCGCGACCUGUUGAAGAUCGUUUUCAUGCCUUCACUACCC